rnacentral:rRNA from 1 species
AUGGAGCGGAGGCGGCUGGAUCUGGCGAUUCUGGAGGGGCUGGCGACGAGCGUUUCCAUGGGCGGCGACCUGCGGGGUUCAAGCGGCGGCUGCCAUGAAGGUAUGAGCGAUCUGGUUUCCCCUUUUGUUGUUCUAUACGAGGAUGAUGCAGAUGCCUUUUGGUGUUUUGAGAUGCUACUGAGAAGGAUGCGUGAAAAUUUCCACCUCGAGGGACCGACAGGAGUUAUGGAGCGGUUGGAAGCAUUGUGGAAGAUCAUGGAAUUGACAGAUACGGAACUAAUAAACUGUCUGCAUACAUAUAUAUAUGCUGCGUGCGCGCACCCUCUGCCCAGACACCGUCAAGGCUCUCGACCUCAGUCAACAAUCUGCCGAAGAUAA